AUGGAGAUCGCUCAGCGCGACCACGACCACGACCUCUCGCCGGAGGCGGCGAGGAUGCUCCGCGAGAUGGCGCUGCGGGGUCGCGAGGAGGGAGUGGAGCCCGAUCUGUCGGACGAGCAGCUGCGCUCCAACGACCAGCUCCAGCAAGACGAGAUGUUAGCGCUGGAGGCAAUUUAUGGAGACAAGAUAUGCAUUUUUGGUGAAAAGGCUGGACCGCGAUCUUUCCAGAUUCAGGUUAAUUGUGAAAUUCCAGAUGGUAUCACUGUUACCGUAGAACCAUUCCAGGGUGAUGAUGAUGACCCAAAGAGCCAGUUCCUUGAAAACUUCAGUGUCAAGCACUUGGCUCCGCUAUCACUGACAUGCCUCAUGCCUCCAUCGUACCCAAGCCAUCAUCCUCCAUACUUCACUCUCGGUGUACAAUGGUUGGAUAAUGUGAAGGUCUCCUCCCUUUGUCACAUGCUCGACUUGAUCUGGGCGCAACAAGCUGAACAGGAAGUUGUUUAUGAGUGGGUGCAUUGGCUGCAGAGCUCUAUGCUUUUUCAUCUUGGUUUUGACAACGGAAUAGUCAUACGACAGCCUCAUAGUGCGGUCAGUCAAGUGGAUUUUCGGGUUGUGGGAGAGAUUUUGUCUGCAGAGUCUGUCGUUCAACAGUUGAUCAGCUACAAUGAGGAGCAAUGCCAUGAAUCCUUUCUCCACGGGCUUCAUGCCUGCAUGAUUUGCUUCAGCGAGUACACAGGUAACUUGAAUGCUCUAGUUGAUGCUCGGGUACUCUUCCUGGGGCUCAUUUCUUGCACUAUGCUCUGCAUUAUACUAGUGGACCCGUUGCGUCAAAUGGCGCAGAGGCACGCUAAAUCCAUGUGCGCGAUGAAAAAAAUAUAUCCAUGGUUUAAUUCCCUUGAAUAG
rnacentral:rRNA from 1 species